AGAGUUUGAUCAUGGCUCAGGAUGAACGCUGGCGGUCUGCUUAACACAUGCAAGUCGAACGCAACCUUUCGGGGUUGAGUGGCGGACGGGUGAGUAACGCGUGAGAAUCUGCCUUUAGGUCCGGGACAACCACUGGAAACGGUGGCUAAUACCGGAUGUGCCGCAACGUGAAAGGGGAAACCCGCCUGAAGAUGAGCUCGCGUCUGAUUAGCUAGUUGGUGAGGUAAAGGCUCACCAAGGCGACGAUCAGUAGCUGGUCUGAGAGGAUGACCAGCCACACUGGGACUGAGACACGGCCCAGACUCCUACGGGAGGCAGCAGUGGGGAAUUUUCCGCAAUGGGCGAAAGCCUGACGGAGCAAUACCGCGUGAGGGAGGAAGGCUCUUGGGUUGUAAACCUCUUUUCUCAGGGAAGAACGCAAUGACGGUACCUGAGGAAUCAGCAUCGGCUAACUCCGUGCCAGCAGCCGCGGUAAUACGGAGGAUGCAAGCGUUAUCCGGAAUGAUUGGGCGUAAAGGGUUCGCAGGUGGUAGUGAAAGUUUGCUGUUAAAAGUCGGGGCUCAACCCCGAACCGGCGGUGAAAACUACACAACUAGAGUGCGGUAGGGGCAGAGGGAAUUCCUGGUGUAGCGGUGAAAUGCGUAGAGCUCAGGAAGAACACCGGUGGCGAAAGCGCUCUGCUAGACCUGCACUGACACUGAGGGACGAAAGCUAGGGGAGCGAAUGGGAUUAGAUACCCCCGUAGUCC
rnacentral:rRNA from 1 species